rnacentral:rRNA from 1 species
AGCUCCAAUAGCGUAUAUUAAAGUUGUUGCAGUUAAAAAGCUCGUAGUCGGAUUUCGGGGCGGGGCGACCGGUCUGCCGAUGGGUAUGCACUGGUCGGCGCGUCCUUCCUUCCGGAGACCGUGCCUACUCUUAACUGAGCGGGGGCGGGAGACGGAUCGUUUACUUUGAAAAAUCAGAGUGUUUCAAGCAGGCGUCUCGCCUUUGCAUGGAUUAGCAUGGGAUAAUGAAAUAGGACUUUGGUGCUAUUUUGUUGGUUUCGAACACCGAAGUAAUGAUUAACAGGGACAGUCAGGGGCACUCGUAUUCCGUCGAGAGAGGUGAAAUUCUCAGACCAAUGGAAGACGAACAACUGCGAAAGCAUUUGCCAGGGAUGUUUUCA